GGCGCUGUAGCUCAAGUGGUAGAGCGCUGGCCUCGCAUGCAUGAAGCCCUGGGUUCGAUUCCCCAGCACCA
rnacentral:tRNA from 1 species